rnacentral:rRNA from 1 species
CCUCCGUGCUUCAGCAGUUAGUAAUAUUUUUCAAUUGCCGUAAUUCUUAACCAGCCAUGCCGCGUGAAGGUCAGUGCCCUAUGGGCGUUAAACUUCUUUUGUGCGGGAGCAAUAAUGGUCACGUGUGGCCAGACGAGAGUACCGUACGAAUAAGCAUCGGCUAACUCCGUGCCAGCAGCCGCGGUAAUACGGGGGAUGCAAGCGUUAUCCGGAUUUAUUGGGUUUAAAGGGUGCGUAGGCUGUGAGGUAAGUCAGCGGUGAAAUGCCCCCGCUCAACGGGGUGAAGUGCCAUUGAUACUGCCUUGCUGGAAUGCGGAUGCCGUGGGAGGAAUGUGUGGUGUAGCGGUGAAAUGCAUAGAUAUCACACAGAACACCGAUUGCGAAGGCAUCUCACGAAUCCGCGAUUGACGCUGAUGCACGAAAGCGUGGGUAUCAAACAGGAUUAGAUACCCCGGUAGUC